UGGGGUGUAGCUCAGUUGGCAGAGCACCGGAUUUUGAUUCCGGUUGUCGUAGGUUCGAAUCCUACCACCCCAGCCA
rnacentral:tRNA from 1 species